ACCGUCUCCUUUUGGUGCAG
rnacentral:miRNA from 1 species